rnacentral:pre_miRNA from 1 species
UACAAUGUUUUGACUUUACAUCUUAUUUGAAAUUUUUUUACGAUUAAUAUUUUUAUUCUUACUAGAUGAUAAAACAUAAAUAAUACUUUAUGCGUGACUAAUUUUUUUAAAGUUUUUUAACAAAUUUUUCAAAUAAAACGAAUGAUUAAACGUUGGACACGGAAA